rnacentral:misc_RNA from 1 species
AAACUUUCAAAACCUUUCUUUCCUUUUUCUCUAAAAGGUCAGGAUUUUCUUUUGGACAUAACGUUGGAGGCUGUCGGCUUUUUGAUCAAGGUCGGCUCUUCUGAAAUGCAUUGGCUGUGGUAAGCGAUCGGAAAAUAAUUGAUGUGGUAAUCUGAAUGCAUCGAGGUUUUUGAUCGCCUUCUUGGCCUUUUUGUUUCGAUUGAACUUGCGGAUAUG